AAAAAAAAAAACAACGAAUAGUUGUACAUUUCAAACUCUGCACGAGAUUCAUGUAUAGCUUCACGACUUCAAAUGGAUUAAAAACGCUCAUUAGUAAAUGAACUGCACAACAAUCCUCCGUCCGAAUCGGAAAUAAUAAUAAUCGUCGAGUGUCGUCGCUGCAAUGAAGAACCACUCUGUUUUAUUAUAGUUAUAUUGUAUUUCUCGUCACUCCGACGAAUUAUUAGGUACGUACUAUUAUUAAAUAUAAAAUAAAAUACAAAUGUUUUUGCAAUAAUAUUUGCGUUACGUUCGCUAUUUUUUUCGUGAAGUCUACAGUU